GGAUGUGAGGGAGAUCUGGCUGUGACAUUUCUCACCCUAAUGACUGCCCGUUGGUUUGGCUGAUCUGGCUGGCUGGGCAGGUGUCCCCUUUCUCCCUCACAGCUCCAUGUGUGUCCCUCCUGAAGCUUCGUGCUUGGGGGAGGAAGACGACCACCCCUUUUAGAAGAGGACUGUCUCUUUGGUCAGGGGUAUGCUAGUACUUGUGCUCCUCUCUGGAACCUCCAAAUGAGCUGUCAAGGAAUUGGCUCCUGCAGUUAUGGAGGCUAAGUUCCUUGAUUUGCAGGCUGAAAGCUUAAACCCAGG
rfam:Heterocephalus glaber contig88231, whole genome shotgun sequence.